rnacentral:rRNA from 1 species
CUACGGGUUGCUCCAGUGAGGAAUUUUCCGCAAUGGGGGCAACCCUGACGGAGCAAUACCGCGUGUAGGAUGAACCUUUUCGGAGUGUAAACUACUUUUCUCAGGGAAUAAGUUCUGAAGGUACCUGAGGAAUAAGUCACGGCUAAUCACGUGCCAGCAGCCGCGGUAAUACGUGAGUGGCAAGCGUUAUCCGGAAUUAUUGGGCGUAAAGCGUACACAGGGGGAUUGUUAAGUUGGAUGUAAAAGGCCUUGGCUCAACCAAGGUACAGCAUCCAAAACUGGCUUUCUAGAAGGUAGUAGAGGUAGAUGGAAUUUCAGGAGUAGGAGUAAUAUCCGUAGAGUCCUGAAGGAACACCAAUAGCGAAGGCAAUCUACUGGACUAUCCUUGACCCUCACUGACGAAAGCGUGGGGAGCGAACGGGAUUAGAUACCCGUGUAGUC